GAUACCUGGGCGGAUGGUUUGAAACCUGACUACCUCCAAAUGGAAGAGAUGGAGACGUUUGUGACAGAAAAAAUAAAAACGGCGGCAGAGGUCAACAUGAAAGGAAACUUGGCUCAUCCACUCAUCAGCAUUGCAGACACUUGGUGACGGUCAUGAGACUGGAGCAGGCACGCUGGGGAUAGAGAUGAUGGUCCAUCCAUGUGUGCUACGUCUACCCACAGAGCCAGAGGCGACGUCGUCCGAAGCUUAGUGGGCGCAAUGCUUCAGCCUGAUGGGAGAUGACAGGCGCUGAUGAAGCGCAGCGUUUACUGCAGGAGUUAACAGAGGCGAUCGAUGGCUGCACUCAAUACGCCGAAAGGAAAACGAAGCGCGGUUUUAUCACCUGGGCUGGUGAACGGAAGGUGAGGACGAGUGUGACAUCAAGCUGUUUAACAAGCACAAGAA